rnacentral:rRNA from 1 species
AACGAACGCUGGCGGCAGGCUUAACACAUGCAAGUCGAACGCCCCGCAAGGGGAGUGGCAGACGGGUGAGUAACGCGUGGGAACAUACCCUUUCCUGCGGAAUAGCUCUGGGAAACUGGAAUUAAUACCGCAUACGCCCUACGGGGGAAAGAUUUAUCGGGGAAGGAUUGGCCCGCGUUGGAUUAGCUAGUUGGUGGGGUAAAGGCCUACCAAGGCGACGAUCCAUAGCUGGUCUGAGAGGAUGAUCAGCCACAUUGGGACUGAGACACGGCCCAAACUCCUACGGGAGGCAGCAGUGGGGAAUAUUGCACAAUGGGCGCAAGCCUGAUCCAGCCAUGCCGCGUGAGUGAUGAAGGCCUUAGGGUCGUAAAGCUCUUUCACCGAUGAAGAUAAUGACGGUAGUCGGAGAAGAAGCCCCGGCUAACUUCGUGCCAGCCGCCGCGGUAACAC